rnacentral:rRNA from 1 species
CGAACGCUGGCGGCGUGCCUACUACAUGCAAGUUGAGCGCUGAAGGUUGGUACUUGUACCAACUGGAUGAGCAGCGAACGGGUGAGUAACGCGUGGGGAAUCUGCCUUUGAGCGGGGGACAACAUUUGGAAACGAAUGCUAAUACCGCAUAAAAACUUUAAACACAAGUUUUAAGUUUGAAAGAUGCAAUUGCAUCACUCAAAGAUGAUCCCGCGUUGUAUUAGCUAGUUGGUGAGGUAAAGGCUCACCAAGGCGAUGAUACAUAGCCGACCUGAGAGGGUGAUCGGCCACAUUGGGACUGCGACACGGCCCAAACUCCUACGGGAGGCAGCAGUAGGGAAUCUUCGGCAAUGGACGAAAGUCUGACCGAGCAACGCCGCGUGAGUGAAGAAGGUUUUCGGAUCGUAAAACUCUGUUGGUAGAGAAGAACGUUGGUGAGAGUGGAAAGCUCAUCAAGUGACGGUAACUACCCAGAAAGGGACGGCUAACUACGUG